ACGCUGGCGGCAGGCCUAACACAUGCAAGUCGAGCGGUAGAGAGAAGCUUGCUUCUCUUGAGAGCGGCGGACGGGUGAGUAAUGCCUAGGAAUCUGCCUGGUAGUGGGGGAUAACGUUCGGAAACGGACGCUAAUACCGCAUACGUCCUACGGGAGAAAGCAGGGGACCUUCGGGCCUUGCGCUAUCAGAUGAGCCUAGGUCGGAUUAGCUAGUUGGUGGGGUAAUGGCUCACCAAGGCGACGAUCCGUAACUGGUCUGAGAGGAUGAUCAGUCACACUGGAACUGAGACACGGUCCAGACUCCUACGGGAGGCAGCAGUGGGGAAUAUUGGACAAUGGGCGAAAGCCUGAUCCAGCCAUGCCGCGUGUGUGAAGAAGGUCUUCGGAUUGUAAAGCACUUUAAGUUGGGAGGAAGGGUUGUAGAUUAAUACUCUGCAAUUUUGACGUUACCGACAGAAUAAGCACCGGCUAACUCUGUGCCAGCAGCCGCGGUAAUACAGAGGGUGCGAGCGUUAAUCGGAAUUACUGGGCGUAAAGCGCGCGUAGGUGGUUAGUUAAGUUGGAUGUGAAAUCCCCGGGCUCAACCUGGGAACUGCAUUCAAAACUGACUGACUAGAGUAUGGUAGAGGGUGGUGGAAUUUCCUGUGUAGCGGUGAAAUGCGUAGAUAUAGGAAGGAACACCAGUGGCGAAGGCGACCACCUGGACUGAUACUGACACUGAGGUGCGAAAGCGUGGGGAGCAAAC
rnacentral:rRNA from 1 species